rnacentral:rRNA from 1 species
UACGAAGGGGGCGAGCGUUGUUCGGAAUCAUUGGGCGUAAAGGGCGCGUAGGCGGCUCAGUCAGUCAGAUGUGAAAGCCCCGGGCUUAACCUGGGAACUGCAUUUGAUACUACUGAGCUUGAGUACGGGAGAGGAUAGUGGAAUUCCCGGUGUAGAGGUGAAAUUCGUAGAUAUUGGGAAGAACACCGGUGGCGAAGGCGGCUAUCUGGGCCGUAACUGACGCUGAGACGCGAAAGCGUGGGGAGCAAACAGG